AUGCGCAGCUUCAACUGCAAGCACAAGGCGCGAGCGGCCGCGGCCGGGAAGGGCAAGGGAGGAGGACCCGCGACUCGCGCUCUGUUGCCGGCGGCACCGGCGUGCGGGCCGCGGGGGCAGCGGGCCAGGGGCAGGAGCGAGGCGUAUGUUCCGGCCGCGCGCGCCGGAGGGCGGGAGAGGUCGCCGUCGCCGGCGCUCACGCGGCGGAGGGCGUGGCCGGUGCCCCCGCCGGCCUGGGCCUGGCACGGCCGCAGCCGCACCACCGUCAUGAUCCGCAACAUCCCCAACAAGCUCACGCGCGCCUCGAUGAUGAAGCUGCUCGACGACCACUGCGCCCGCGUGAACAGGCGGCGCGGCCCCGGCGCCGUGGCCGCCGCGUACGAUUUCCUCUACCUGCCCAUGGAUUUCAGCAGGCAGCGCUGCAGCAACAAGGGGUACGCCUUCGUCAACUUCACGACGGCGGAGGCGGCGCGCGGGCUGCACUACGCCCUGCACGGCCGCGGCUGGCACCGCUCGCUCGGCAGCGGCAAGAUCAUCAACAUCGGCGCCGCCUACAUGCAGGGCAGGCAGAGGCUGGUGAGGCACUUCAGCCGCUCCACCUUCGCGUGCCACACCGACGAGUACCUCCCGGCCCUCUUCUCGCCGCCGCGCGACGGCGCCGCCGACCCGCCCCCGGCCGAGCCCAGGCACCUCGGCCGACGUGUCCCUCCGCGCGCCACCCCCGCCGUCCAGCCGUCGGCGCCGGCGCAGCAGCUGGUGUGGAUGCGUCGAGGCGAGGCUAGCUAG
rnacentral:rRNA from 1 species